GAGGACAGUUUGAAGGCUCUGAAAGGUGUCAUUGGGCAACUCAACAGUGAGAGUUCCAAAACGCCUCUAUCAGAGGCUGAGUGGGAGGAGGAUGUCCCUCUUCACACAGGAGCUGGCCACAUUGGUGUUUGGCAGGGAAACUUUGGCCAAGGCAACUCUCACAGGGAAAGGAAAAAAAGAUGCAGUGAGGGAGCGAUUCCCCAACACCGAGGUGGCAGAGAUCCGGGCCCUUCUACGAAGGAAGUGCAACAAUGAGAGCUACAAGGCCUCUAGUAAUUCAAGUCAGAGCUAGAUGUGCAUUGUGUAAUAAGUUGUUCGCCAUUGUUCUGUUCCCGGCAUUUCAGAGAAAGGUGACAGUUCAAGGUGUUGAUCAAGCAGUAACUGCUUUUGUAUGUUACUUUCGUGGUAAUAAUAAAGAUCCUUUUCUGAAA